GAUGAACGCUGGCGGCGUGCCUAAUACAUGCAAGUCGAGCGAAUGGAUUAAGAGCUUGCUCUUAUGAAGUUAGCGGCGGACGGGUGAGUAACACGUGGGUAACCUGCCCAUAAGACUGGGAUAACUCCGGGAAACCGGGGCUAAUACCGGAUAACAUUUUGAACCGCAUGGUUCGAAAUUGAAAGGCGGCUUCGGCUGUCACUUAUGGAUGGACCCGGGUCGCAUUAGCUAGUUGGUGAGGUAACGGCUCACCAAGGCAACGAUGCGUAGCCGACGGGAGAGGGUGGGCGGCCACACUGGGACUAGGAGACGGCCCAGACUCCGACGGGGAGGAGGAGUAGGGAACCUGCCGCAGUGGACGAAAGUCGGACGGAGCGAGGCGGCGGAGGGGAGGAAGGCUUUCAGGGCGUGAAACUCUGAUGUUAGGGAAGAACGAGUGCGAGUUGGAUAUGCUGGCACCAUGGCGGUACCUAGCCAGAAGGCAACGGCUAACUACGUGCCAGCCGCCGCCGUAA
rnacentral:rRNA from 1 species